rnacentral:lncRNA from 1 species
GCAAUCACAAGACAGGAAAAGAAAGACAGAGUCUCUAUCUGUCGAAUGAUAUUGUUCACUGUUCAGUCCACUCAACCUGCUCCAACCUUGAGUGAAGAAACAGAGGAGCAAAUUGGCUUGGUAAGAUUUUUGGUCCUAGAAAGAAAGCUUUUUUUUCAUUGAGUGGAAGACUAGCCUUUCAAAGUACCACCACAUCAUUAAAUAAGAUUAUUCCACUAAGCCUGAGCAGGUAGCUAGCUAGCAUGUGCAGCCAAGAUCAAAGCUAAAAUUAAUUUCUGAACAUAGCCUGCG